UCUCUGGAGCCAACAACUUAUUCUCCCCACUUCACAGCGAGACGGUUAAAGGGUUAAUUACACUAAAACCGGGCUGAGAGGCCGUAUCCCCAACAGAGGACCCAGCACAGCCGCAGUAAAGCCAGAGGCCGGGUGAGCAAAGGGCUCAAGGCACAGUUAUCUGGUGUCCCAGCCAGACCCGGCCCCACCCAGCCACAAUGCAGACGGGCUGCCAACCCUUCUGGUUUCACUGGGAGUCUCCUGGAAUCAGGCCCUACUUCCCAGAGGCUACUGCAGCCAAACCAGGAGAUUUGGGGUGCUAGCAGUCCAGCAGCUCAGCGGGGCUAAGGAAGGUUUCCUGCCUGCCCUCGCUCUGUGCUGCUCCUGGAAGCAGCUGGCACCAUCCCUGCAGCCCCUGGUGGAUCAAGGAGGGGGGAAGAAGAGGGAGAGAGACAGGGGUCUCUGCUCAUUGCCACUGCCCCAAGUGCUGACUCUGCAUCUCUCAUUGACCAGGAAGUGCGGCCGAUGGGAGCUGUGGGGGCAAUGCCUGCAGGCAGGGGCAGCAUGCAAAACUCCCUGGCCCCCCCCACACCUAGAAGCCUCUGCCAGAAUGAUGUGUCAGUGGCUUUUGGGAGCUGUCUAAGGUGAUGCAGCAAAACUGUCUGAGCAUCCUGAGGAUGGAGGCAUCCCCAACUAUUUCUGUGCAGUCAAAACUCAAAUAUAAAAUUACUUCCCAUUCCUGUCGAUCUAAUCCGCACAUUCCUGAAUCCAGCACAAGUCAUCUCACUGAUGGAUGUUCCCAGACUGCUUUGCAAUGAGAUUCUUGAAUAAGCAGCUUAAUUGUAUAUUGUCAGUGAUCUGCAAGGAACUUGAAACUAGUUAUUAAAGCUAAUUUUGAGUAGACCUA